ACUCCUUGUUGUUUUGCAGAAGUUCAGUCUUUUCGAAAACACCAAACUUUGAAAGGAAUGCCCAAGGCAGGGUGCUGUGUUCCAGGUUCAGUCUGUGAACUCGGAAGGAAGGGCUGGUCCCAGGGGCGGCCAUCGGCUCCGGAGACCCGCGCCGUGCGCCCUGAAAAAGCAUGUGUUAAAAGCCAUGUUAUGUCGCUCGUGAAACCGUCAG